CAGUAGCCACGGUAAUACGGAGGGUGCAAGCGUUAAUCGGAAUUACUGGGCGUAAAGCGCACGCAGGCGGUCUGACAAGUCAGAUGUGAAAUCCCCGGGCUUAACCUGGGAACUGCAUUUGAAACUGUCAGGCUGGAGUCUUGUAGAGGGGGGUAGAAUUCCAGGUGUAGCGGUGAAAUGCGUAGAGAUCUGGAGGAAUACCGGUGGCGAAGGCGGCCCCCUGGACAAAGACUGACGCUCAGGUGCGAAAGCGUGGGGAGCAAACAGGAUUAGAUACCCCGGUAGUCCAUGUCUCUUAUAA
rnacentral:rRNA from 1 species